rnacentral:rRNA from 1 species
UACGUAGGGCGCAAGCGUUUAUCCGGAAUUAUUGGGCGUAAAGAGCUCGUAGGCGGUUUGUCGCGUCUGCCGUGAAAGUCCGGGGCUCAACUCCGGAUCUGCGGUGGGUACGGGCAGACUAGAGUGAUGUAGGGGAGACUGGAAUUCCUGGUGUAGCGGUGAAAUGCGCAGAUAUCAGGAGGAACACCAAUGGCGAAGGCAGCUCGCUGGAACGGUACUGACGCUGAGGCGCGAAAGCGUGGGGAGCGAACAGG